rnacentral:hammerhead_ribozyme from 1 species
AUCCUGAUGAAAAGUCUUAAAUAGGACAAAACGCUCGUCCUGGAU